CCAAAGGCUCUUCUAAGAGCCGCCCACUUAAACUGAAAGAGGGCUG
rfam:Leptosomus discolor contig8351, whole genome shotgun sequence.